rnacentral:rRNA from 1 species
AGUAACGAUAAAGCGGGUGAAAAGCCCGCUCGCCGGAAGACCAAGGGUUCCUGUCCAACGUUAAUCGGGGCAGGGUGAGUCGACCCCUAAGGCGAGGCCGAAAGGCGUAGUCGAUGGGAAACAGGUUAAUAUUCCUGUACUUGGUGUUACUGCGAAGGGGGGACGGAGAAGGCUAUGUUGGCCGGGCGACGGUUGUCCCGGUUUAAGCGUGUAGGCUGGUUUUCCAGGCAAAUCCGGAAAAUCAAGGCUGAGGCGUGAUGACGAGGCACUACGGUGCUGAAGCAACAAAUGCCCUGCUUCCAGGAAAAGCCUCUAAGCAUCAGGUAACAUCAAAUCGUACCCCAAACCGACACAGGUGGUCAGGUAGAGAAUACCAAGGCGCUUGAGAGAACUCGGGUGAAGGAACUAGGCAAAAUGGUGCCGUAACUUCGGGAGAAGGCACGCUGAUAUGUAGGUGAAG